CCAGACUCCUACGGGAGGUAGCAGUGAGGAGUAUUGGUCAAUGGGCGGGAGCCUGAACCAGCCAAGUCGCGUGAGGGAAGACGGUCCUACGGAUUGUAAACCUCUUUUGCCGGGGAGCAACGGGGUCCUUGCGAGGGCCCGAUGAGAGUACCCGGAGAAAAAGCAUCGGCUAACUCCGUGCCAGCAGCCGCGGUAAUACGGAGGAUGCGAGCGUUAUCCGGAUUUAUUGGGUUUAAAGGGUGCGUAGGCGGGCUGUUAAGUCAGCGGUAAAAAUGCGGUGCUCAACGCCGUACAGCCGUUGAAACUGGCAGCCUUGAGUGGGCGAGAAGUAUGCGGAAUGCGUGGUGUAGCGGUGAAAUGCAUAGAUAUCACGCAGAACUCCGAUUGCGAAGGCAGCAUACCGGCGCCCGACUGACGCUGAGGCACGAAAGCGUGGGUAUCGAACAGGAUUAGAUACCCCUGUAC
rnacentral:rRNA from 1 species